GACGAACGCUGGCGGCGUGCCUAAUACAUGCAAGUCGAACGAGAGCGACCGGUGCUUGCACUGGUCAAUCUAGUGGCGAACGGGUGAGUAACACGUGGGUAACCUGCCCAUCAGAGGGGGAUAACAUUCGGAAACGGAUGCUAAAACCGCAUAGGUCUUCGAACCGCAUGGUUUGAAGAGGAAAAGAGGCGCAAGCUUCUGCUGAUGGAUGGACCCGCGGUGCAUUAGCUAGUUGGUGAGGUAACGGCUCACCAAGGCCGUGAUGCAUAGCCGACCUGAGAGGGUGAUCGGCCACAUUGGGACUGAGACACGGCCCAAACUCCUACGGGAGGCAGCAGUAGGGAAUCUUCCGCAAUGGACGCAAGUCUGACGGAGCAACGCCGCGUGAGUGAAGAAGGUUUUCGGAUCGUAAAACUCUGUUGUUAGAGAAGAACAAGUGCUAGAGUAACUGUUAGCGCCUUGACGGUAUCUAACCAGAAAGCCACGGCUAACUACGUGCCAGCAGCCGCGGUAAUACGUAGGUGGCAAGCGUUGUCCGGAUUUAUUGGGCGUAAAGCGAGCGCAGGCGGUUCCUUAAGUCUGAUGUGAAGGCCCCCGGCUCAACCGGGGAGGGUCAUUGGAAGCUGGGGAACUUGAGUGCAGAAGAGGAGAGUGGAAUUCCAUGUGUAGCGGUGAAAUGCGUAGAUAUAUGGAGGAACACCAGUGGCGAAGGCGACUCUCUGGUCUGUAACUGACGCUGAGGCUCGAAAGCGUGGGUAGCAAACAGG
rnacentral:rRNA from 1 species